rnacentral:lncRNA from 1 species
GUCCAGGAGCCAACAGCCUCUCUGUGCAAACCAGACAACCCUGCAGGAACUGUGCUUGAAGAAACCGUGGAAACUGCCCCCAACCCUCCCGUCUCUAUUUCUUUCUCUGUUUUAUUAUCUCAUUCUUGGCUGUGAGGUAAACAGGAGAAAAUGAGAAGGUGGUUCUGGAGGACCCGACCGAAUUUGCUUUCGUGACAGGGUCAAGCGCCCUUUCCUCGCCGGCCGCAGCCCUCACCAAAGGGGAUUUGGGGGCCUCCGGACAGGGGUCCUGAAGGUUUUGAAUUGUUCAAUCUCUGGGGGUACAGGAACCCCUGCAGGAGGUUUCAAAGGCAAGAGUUUCGCAGAGAGAAAAAAACCAUGAACUUUGCAGGUUGGUGGCGGAAUCUGGUGAUUUAAGAAAACGUGUUUAAGCCUCGGCCGGGCCGCGCCUGGGCUGUCUGCGGUGCUCUUCCGGAAUUCUCUACAAUAUCUGGAAGUGACCAAGAAAAUUCCAGAACCCGGAGGCUGCGCCGUGGAGAUAAACAUGGGCACCUGGGAAGGAACUGCUGGACCAGCAGAAUGAGGGGCCAACGCCAGGGGCAGCACUGCCCGGCCACAGAGGACUGUGGCCCCACAGAUGACACCCUCAGCUACCAGCUCCUGCAUCUGGAAGAUGACCAGGAGGAGGAAGGACGGUCUGCAAGUGUUCAAAGUGAUGUUUCCAGGCCGGGCGCGCUUGUAAUACCAGCAUUUGGGAGGCUGAGGCAGGCGGAUCACCUGAGGUCGGGAGUUCGAGACCAGCCUGACCAACGUGGAGAAACCCCGUCUCUACUAAAAAUACAAAAUUAGCCAGGCGUGGUGGCGCAGCUACUCGGGAGGCUGAGGCAGGAGAAUCGCUUGAACCCGGGAGGCGGAGGUUGCGGUGAGCUGAGAUUGUGCCAUUGCACUCCAGCCUGGGCAACAAGAGUGAAACUCCGUCUGAAAAAAAAAAAACCUCUAUAACAUCCAAAAUACUAACCACUUGUUACCUCUAGAUUGUUUGGGGAUGUUAGAUUUCUCCUUUGUUGCCAGCUCUUUUAUUUUUAUUUAUUUAUUUAUUAUUAUUAUUAUUAUUAUUAUUAUUAUUAUUAUUUUGAGAUGGAGUCUUGUUCUGUUGCCCAGGAUGGAGUGCAGUGGUGUGAUCUCGGCUCACUGCAACCUCCGCCUCCUGGGUUUGAGCAAUUCUCCUGCCUCAGCCUCCCGAGUAGCUGGGACUACACGCGUGUGCCACCACGCCAGGCUAAUUUUUGUAUUUUUAGUAGAGACGGGGUUUUGCCAUGUUGGCCAGGAUGGUCAGGAACUCCCCAACUCUUAUUUUUAAAUGUUGGGCCACACAAGUCUGGGAAAUGUUAGUUUUCAAACACAUCAGGGAAUAAAUGGAUACAAAAGUCUUGAGGACCACUUAAGAAAUGAACAAUAGCAGAUGUGUAACAGUUAUACUACGCUGCUACCUUGUAAAACAUUUUAGAAACAUCUGUUUCCAGCCGGGCCUGGUGGCUCACGCCUGUGAUACCAGCACUUUGGGAGGCUGAGGUGGGCAGAUCAUGAGGUCAGGAGUUCGAGACCAGCCUGGCCAACCUAGUGAACCCUCAUCUCUACUAAAACUACAAAAAAUUAGCCAGGUGUGGUGGCGGGCGCCUGUAAUCCCAGCUACUUGGGAGGCUGAGGCAGGAGAAUCGCUUGAACCUGGGAGGCGGAGGUUGCAGUGAGCCAAGAUUGCACCACUGCUCUCCAGCCUGGCAACAAAGGAAGACUCCAUCUCAAAAAAAAAAAAGAAUAAAAAGAAUACAAAAAGAAAAAAAAAACAUCUGUAUCAUCCUUGUAGAUUCUGGGGUUUGGAAACAGGCUUUGAAAAAAGUCCUGAAACAGGCCGGGCGCCGUGGCUCACACCUGUAAUCCCAGCACUUCUGGAGGCCGAGGCGGGCGGAUCAUGAGGUCAGGAGAUCGAGACCAUCCUGGCUAACACGGUGAAACCCCGUCUCUACUAAAAAUACAAAAAAAUUAGCCGGGCGUGGUGGUGGGCACCUGUAGUCCCAGCUACUCGGGAGGCUGAGGCAGGAGAAUGGCCUGAACCUGGGAGGUGGAGCUUGCAGUGAGCCGAGAUCGCGCCACUGCACUCCAGCCUGGGCGACAGAGCGAGACUCUGUCUCAGAAAAGAAAAGAAAAGAAGAGAAGAGAAGAAAAGAAAAAAUCCUGAAGCAAAUGGAGCAAAUUUUGAACAGCUUGAAUACCUGAGACAGGCCAGGGGUGCGGGGCAGGUGGAUCACUAGGUCAGGAGUUUGAGACCAUCCUGGCCAACAUGGAGACACCUCAUCUCUACUAAAAAUACAAAAAUUAUCUGGGCGUGGCGGUGGGCGCCUGUAAUCCCAGCUACUUGUGAGGCUGAAGCAGGAGAAUCGCUUGAACUCGGGAAGCGGAGGUUGCAGUGAGCUGAAAUCGCACCACUGCACUCCAGCCUGGGCAACAGGGCGAGAUUCCGUCUCAAAAAAAAAAGAAGCAUGUUUCCUAGCAAGCCAAUUCAGAAUAAAAAGAAAACAAAGGAGAAAAUAUAAUCCCAAUAAAAUAUAUUGAAAUAAAUAUGUACACACAUAUAUAUAUGUGAGUUUAUGCUUUGUUUUGUUUUGUUUUCUGGAAGACGGAGUCUCGCUCUGUCACCCAGACUGGAGUGCAAUGGCGUGAUCUCAGCUCACUGCAACCUCUGCCUCCCUGGUUCAAGGGAUUCUCUUGCCUCAGCCUCCAAAGUGCUGGGAUCACAGGUGGGAGCCACGCGCCCGGCCCCAAAGCCCUCCUUGCACAAGCACCUGAGCCGCCAUGGCCCACAGGCCCAUCAAAACCAGAGCAAACUGGUACCUGUGAUACAGCCUCCACUCCAGCCCCAGGGCCCAGCCCCAGGCCACCCGAGCCGGCUGUGGGUGACCUGAGACCAAGUGUCGUUUCCUGCUAUAAACUAUUGAUGCCUGAGCAGUCACCUCCAGGAGCUCCGGGCUUGGCUACGGUGUCCUGGGUUCCCUGUAAUGAAGCCCGGGGCAGCUGCGGCCUGGAGGGCGUCUGCUCCGCCUCCAUCCUGGGCCCGCCUGGGGCUCUUUUCCUUCUAGGCCUGGUUCCCUCCAAAAUUAGCUUCCUAUCGGGAUCCCACAUCCCCUCACAAUGGAGGCCUGACCUCUGGGGAGACACAAUGUCAGGGUCACUGUGAGGUUUUUAUUUAUGUACUUUUAUUUUUAUUUAUUUGAUACCGAGUCUCACUGUGUUGUCCAGGCUGGACUGCAUUAGUGUGAUCCUGGCUCACUGCAACCUCUGCCUCUCGGGCUCAAGCGAUUCUCCUGCCUCAGCCUCCCAAGUAGCUGGGAUUACAGGCACCCACCACCACGCCCGGGUAAUUUUUUUGUAUUUUUAGUAGAGACGGGGUUUCACCGUGUUCGCCAGGAUGGUCUCGGUCUCCUGACCUCGUGAUCUGCCCGCCUCAGCCUCCCAAAGUGCUGGGAUGACAGGCGUGAACCACCGCGCCCGGCCUCGAUUUACUCAUUUUUUUUGAGAGAGAGAGAGAGUCUCACUCUGUCACCCAGGCUGGAGUGCAGUGGCGUGAUCUCAGCUCACUGCAACCUCCGCCUCUUGGGUUCAAAUAAUAAUUCUCCUGCCUCAGCCUCCCGAGUAGCUGGGAUUACAUGUGUAUGCUACCACACCCAGCUAAUUUUUAUAUCUUUGGUAGAGACAGGCUUUUGCCCUGUUGGCCAGGCUGGUCUCGAACUCCUGACCUCAGGGCAUCCACCCGCCUCAGUCACCCAACGUGCUGGGAUCACAGGCGUGAGCCACCGCGCCUGGCCUGACUUUAUUAUUGUUUUACAAAGAGCAGACCUUCCACCUGCCAUGGAUAAAACGCCGAGUUCUAGAGGACACUGGAGACAGAGUGUUCCCCAGAACAAGGCCUGGGCGCAGCAGCCUGCAGGGCUGGGGUCUCCACUCCCGGGGGAGCGUGCAGCGGGGCCUGCCAUCCCUCUGUGCCCCCGCCCCACCCCCACUCUGCAGGCCGCUGACCCUGUGGUCGGGCUGGUGAGCAGAUGGCUGCUGGAUCACUGACAGCCCGGCUCACGUUCCCUCUCCCUAUGGAGACAUCUUCCUUUUAAUAAAUUUUGCAAGGCCGUGGAGGGGGGCCAGCGCUCUGGCCCACGUCUGUCUCCCAUCCCCAUCACCACACGAGGCCCCAGCACGCCUGGCUGGCCUAAGUCCCCGCAGGAUGAAUGGGCUUCCGGGGCCUGCUGGGACCAGGUAAGCAGGCUGUGCGGCUUAAAACAACACAAAUACACUCUCGUCUCUGGAGGCCGGAAGUCUGAAGUGAAGGUGUGCAAGGUGCCAGGCGAGUACCCUCCCGGCCUCUUCCAGCUCCUGGUGCCGACAGCCACCUCUGACCCUCCUGGACUUGCGGCCGCUUCCCUCCCAAUUCUGCCUCUGCUGCCCCACGGCGGUCUCCUCUGCAUCUGUGUCCAAAUUUCCCUUGUCUCCCGAAGUCGCCUGUCACUGCGGUGGUGCCCGCCCUAAUGAUCUCAUCCUAACUAAUUACAUCUGCAGAAACCCUAUUUCCACAUAAGGUCCCAUUUGUAGGUGCCUGGGGUUCACGCAAAGACAGAUCUUUGAGGGAACUCAAUUCACCCCACCCCGGGGAGUUUGCCUUUGUGGCCGGCCCUUCCCCCUCAGAUCAAAUUCUGCCUCCUCAGCGAGGCCUUCCUGACCCUCCCGGGCCCUUCCUGCCUUUCUCUCUGGCUGCGGCUGUUUCCUGCGGGGCUGGCUGCAGCUCCCGGCGGCGCCCUGUCCUGUACCUGUUUCAUGUCCAUCGUCGGCAACCCCUGGCUUCUAACACAGCUCAUUGCCCGCAGGACCUCCCAGCAGGAGCAGGGACCCAGUAGGCCCUGCGUCUCCGUCCGAACCACAAGCUGCUGUGGGUGGUCACUUGACAGAAAGACCCCUGCCCCCCCUUCCUUAUUUGUUUAUUUGCUUUUUCUGUUGCUUUAGAGACUGGAUUUUGCCCUGUCAUCCAGGCUGGAGUGCAGUGGCGAAAUCUCGGUUCACUGCAGCCUCCAUCUCCUGGGCUCUGGUGAGACUACGGCCUUAGCCUCCUGAAUAGCUGAGACCACAGGCGUGCACCACCACGCCCAGCUGAUUCUUUGACUUUUGUUUAUACAGGGUUUUGCCAUGUUGCCCAGGGUGGUUUCAAAGUCCUGGCCUCAAGCAAUCCUCGUGCCUCGCCCUCCCGAAGUGAUGGGAUUAUAGGCAUGAACAACUACCCACUUCACUCCAUCCUUUCCUUUUUUUUUUUUUUUGAGACAGAGUCUUACUCUGUCACCAGGCUGGAGUGCAAUGGUGCGAUCUCAGCUCACUGCAACCUCCGCCUCCCAGGUUCAAGCGAUUCUCCUGCCUCAGCCUCCCGAGUAGCUGGGAUUACAGGCAUGCACCACCACACCUGGCUAAUUUUGUAUUUUUAGUAGAGAAAGGGUUUCACCAUGUUGGUCAGGCUGGUCUUGAACUCCCGACCUCAGGUGAUCCACCCACCUCAGCCUCCCAAACUGCUGGGAUUACAGGCAUGAGCCACCACACCCGGCCGAGACAGGGUUUUCAGGCGAUCUGCCUGCCUCGGGCUCCCGAAGUGCUAGGAUUACAGGCGUGAGCCACUGGGCCUGGCUUUAUUUAAUUUUUUGAGAUGGGAUCUCACUCUGUGGCCCAGGAUGGAGUGCAGUGGUGGGAUCCCAGCUAACUACAGCCUUGAACUCCUGGCCUCAAGGGAUCCUCCCGCCUGGGUUUCCCAAAGGGCUGGGAAUGACAGGUGUGAGCCCCCACCCCCCUGGCCUGGAUAUUUCAUAGAAAUGGGAUCACACGGGGCCAGGCGCGGUGGCUCACGCCUGUCAUCCUAGCACUUUGGGAGGCCGAGGCGGGCGGAUCACCUGAGGUCAGGAGUUUGAGACCAGCCUGGCCAACAUGGUGAAACCCCAUCUCUACUAAAAAUACAAAAAUUAGCUGGGCUUGGUGGUGGGUGCCUGCAAUCUCAGCUCCUUGGGACUCUGAGGCAGGAGAAUUGAUUGAACCAGGAGGCAGAGGUUGCAGUGAACUGAGAUCGUGCCAUUGCACUCCAGCCUGGGCAGCAAGAGCCAAACUCUGUCUCGAAAAAAUAAAAUAAAUGGGAUCACACGCUGUGUGUCCUUCUGUGUCUGGCGUCUCUCACGGAGCGUGACGUCCUUAAGGUGCAUCCGCGCUGUGGCCUGGGUCAGAGCCUGGAUCCUUUUCACGCUGAGUUGUGUUCCGCGGUGGACGGCCGGCACUGGGUUGGUCUUUUCUUCCACUAACGGGAAUUUGGGCUGUUUCCACAUGUGGCCUCCGUGAAUAACACUACGAUGAACGUUCAUGUACGCGUUUCUGUGUGGACUUGUGUUUCCCCUUCUCUCAGGGGCAUGAAUAGGAGGAGAAUUGCGGGGUUCCUGAGGGCCGGCCCCCAGUGCUGGCACAUCCCCAAGCCAAGCCCCACCCCUCUUUUUUUUUUUUGAGACAGAGUCUUGCUCCGUCACCCAUGCUAGAGUGCAAUGGCCCCAUCUCGGCUCACUGCAACCUCCGCCUCCUGAGUUCAAGCAAUUCUCCUGCCUCAGUCUCCCGAGGAGCUGAGGUUACAGGCACCCACCACCAUGCCCAGAUAAUUUUUGUUUUUUUAGUGGGAGACGGGGUUUCCCCAUGUUGGCCAGGCUGAUCUUGAACUCCUGAUCUCAGGGAUCCACGCACCUCAGCACCCUCUUUGGAAGUUCCUAGCAAGUUCUCUGCCUGAGUUCAGACCCACAGGGCCUCUUAGGGGACGGGGGAGGGUCAGGGCCCAGCUCUAGCUGAACUCCCCCGGGGGGAGGGGGGAGGGGGGAGGCUCAGGACCCAGCUCUAGGGGGGAUUGAGGAGGAUCAGGGCCCAGCUCUAGCUGAACUCCCCUGGGGGUAGGGAGGAGGGUCAGGGCCCAGCUCCAGCUGAACUCCCCUGGGUGGGGUGGGGAAAGAGGGUCAGGCUGGGGAGGGGAGCACAGAAUGGCGGGGUGCCAGGCCUGGGGGAGAGGCGGAUGGGGUGGGGAAGGAUGGGUCUGGGCAGAUAACGCUGUGGCCUUUUCCUGUUGGCCUGAGGGCCCAGGGUGGGGGUGGGGAGAGGCUGGUCUCCCUGAGGUCUGGGCAUAGGGAGGUGUCCUGGGAUGAGAAGACUCUUGAGAAGUGACUUUGAUAAUUCGGGGGCAGAUCCUUGGGCCCACCACCCCUUGCAGGGACAGGGGUCCUUCUUGGGGUGGGGGAUGAACAGAGACUGGAGAGGGUGGGGGAGAAAGGAGUUGAGGGGCUAAUUUACAGGACCUCUCAGGCCGGGUGUGGCAGCUCACACCUGUCAUCCCAGCACACUGGGCAGCUGAGGCAGGAGGACCCCUUGAGCCCAGGAGUUUGAGACCAGCCUGGGUAACACGGUGAGAUUCUGUGUCUACAAAACAUUUUUUAAAAUGAGCCAGGCGUGGUGGAACUACUUGCUUAUAGCCCCAGCUACCGAGAGGCUGAGGCGGGAGGAUCACCUGAGCUGGGGAGGUUGGGGCUGUGGGGAGCCGAGACUGUGCCUCUGCACUCCAGCCUGGGCAACAGAGUGAGACCCUGCCUCAAAAAAAUAAAUAAACAAAAAAUAAAUAAAGCCCCCAUUCCCUUUAGGAUCUCUACUUCCUAUACCAACCCACUGUCCCAGCUUGGAGGGGCGGGACCAGCCUCGAGCCGCAGUUGAUUCCCAGAGCACAGAGCACAGGACGGAAGUGGUUCUGCAUGGGGUAUAGUGAGGCCAGGGAAUAGCAAUGCAUUCCUGUCCGUGAGUCCUGGCCAUCAGGCCUUGGGGUGGCCUCACCGAACCCCCACUCCAAGCUCCGUUCAACAGAAAUCCAGGAAAUGGGCCGGAGAGGCUGGGAGACCACCCAGGAGACCAGCCCGAGGCCGCGCCCUGGAUCCCUGAGCCCUCACUUUUGUAAUUAAGAUAAUAAACCUGUGCUGGCUGUGCGGG